GCCUGGGUAGCUCAGUCGCUUAAGCGUCUGACUUCGGCUCAGGUCAUGAUGUCAUGAUGUCAUGGUUCGUGGGUUCAAGCCCCACGUCAGGCU
rnacentral:tRNA from 1 species